AUUUUCAUGUUCUGGGUACCUGUUUUAGUGGAAAUAUUCUAAGUAAAUCCCAACAAGGAAUUUGGUCAGUAUUCUCUGGGAUUUGGAGGUAAUGAUCUAGGUGACUAAGAUAGGUGAAUAUUUAGGUGGAAUUACAAAUUUUUACAGCAAUUAUCAGUAUCAUCCCCUUGUGAUGCUUACCCUGAUUAGUUACUAGCAUUAGUUAUCCCAUAUGUUCUUCUGCUUUGCAAUCAGUAUAUGAAUCUACAUUAGGUAACUUCUGAUGGUAGGAUAGAGGCCAACCAUGGUUCUAACGGGUAAUGGGGAAUUAGGGUUCAAUUCUGGAGAGGGAGCCUGAGAAAUGGCUACCACAUCCAAGGAAGGCAGCAGGCGUGCAAAUUACCCAAUCCUGACACAGGGAGGUAGUGACAAUAAAUAACAAUACAGGGCUCUUUUGGGUCUUGUAAUUGGAAUGAGUACAAUUUAAAUCUCUUAACAAGGAACAAUUGGAGGGCAAGUCUGGUGCCAGCAGCCGCGGUAAUUCCAGCUCCAAUAGUGU
rnacentral:ncRNA from 1 species